rnacentral:tRNA from 1 species
AGGCUUAUAGUUUAAAGGUAAAAUCUUUUCUCAUUAAGAGGAAAAAGUAGAAGUUCGAUUCUUCUUGGGCUUA